rnacentral:rRNA from 1 species
UUAAGCGACUAAGCGUACACGGUGGAUGCCCUGGCAGUCAGAGGCGAUGAAGGACGUGCUAAUCUGCGAAAAGCGUCGGUAAGGUGAUAUGAACCGUUAUAACCGGCGAUGUCCGAAUGGGGAAACCCAGUGCAAUUCGUUGCACUAUCGUUAACUGAAUACAUAGGUUAACGAGGCGAACCGGGGGAACUGAAACAUCUAAGUACCCCGAGGAAAAGAAAUCAACCGAGAUUCCCCCAGUAGCGGCGAGCGAACGGGGAGCAGCCCAGAGUCUGAAUCAGCUUGUGUGUUAGUGGAACGGUCUGGAAAGUCCGACGGUACAGGGUGAUAGUCCCGUACACCAAAAUGCACAGGCUGUGAACUCGAAGAGUAGGGCGGGACACGUGGUAUCCUGUCUGAAUAUGGGGGGACCAUCCUCCAAGGCUAAAUACUCCUGACUGACCGAUAGUGAACCAGUACCGUGAGGGAAAGGCGAAAAGAACCCCGGCGAGGGGAGUGAAAAAGAACCUGAAACCGUGUACGUACAAGCAGUGGGAGCACCUUCGGGUGUGACUGCGUACCUUUUGUAUAAUGGGUCAGCGACUUAUAUUCUGUAGCAAGGUUAACCGUAUAGGGGAGCCGCAGGGAAACCGAGUCUUAACUGGGCGUUAAGUUGCAGGGUAUAGACCCGAAACCCGGUGAUCUAGCCAUGGGCAGGUUGAAGGUUGGGUAACACUAACUGGAGGACCGAACCGACUAAUGUUGAAAAAUUAGCGGAUGACUUGUGGCUGGGGUGAAAGGCCAAUCAAACCGGGAGAUAGCUGGUUCUCCCCGAAAGCUAUUUAGGUAGCGCCUCGUGAAUUCAUCUUCGGGGUAGAGCACUGUUUCGGCUAGGGGGUCAUCCCGACUUACCAACCCGAUGCAAACUACGAAUACCGAAGAAUGUUAUCACGGGAGACACACGGCGGGUGCUAACGUCCGUCGUGAAGAGGGAAACAACCCAGACCGCCAGCUAAGGUCCCAAAGUCAUGGUUAAGUGGGAAACGAUGUGGGAAGGCACAGACAGCCAGGAUGUUGGCUUAGAAGCAGCCAUCAUUUAAAGAAAGCGUAAUAGCUCACUGGUCGAGUCGGCCUGCGCGGAAGAUGUAACGGGGCUAAACCAUGCACCGAAGCUGCGGCAGCGACACUAUGUGUUGUUGGGUAGGGGAGCGUUCUGUAAGCCUGCGAAGGUGUGCUGUGAGGCAUGCUGGAGGUAUCAGAAGUGCGAAUGCUGACAUAAGUAACGAUAAAGCGGGUGAAAAGCCCGCUCGCCGGAAGACCAAGGGUUCCUGUCCAACGUUAAUCGGGGCAGGGUGAGUCGACCCCUAAGGCGAGGCCGAAAGGCGUAGUCGAUGGGAAACAGGUUAAUAUUCCUGUACUUGGUGUUACUGCGAAGGGGGGACGGAGAAGGCUAUGUUAGCCGGGCGACGGUUGUCCCGGUUUAAGCAUGUAGGCUGGUUGUCCAGGCAAAUCCGGAUAAUCAAGCUGAGGUGUGAUGACGAGGCACUACGGUGCUGAAGUAACAAAUGCCCUGCUUCCAGGAAAAGCCUCUAAGCAUCAGGUAACAUUAAAUCGUACCCCAAACCGACACAGGUGGUCAGGUAGAGAAUACCAAGGCGCUUGAGAGAAACUCGGGUGAAGGAACUAGGCAAAAUGGUGCCGUAACUUCGGGAGAAGGCACGCUGGUGUGUAGGUGAAGCCCCUGCGGGUGAGCUGAGACCAGUCGAAGAUACCAGCUGGCUGCAACUGUUUAUUAAAAACACAGCACUGUGCAAACACGAAAGUGGACGUAUACGGUGUGACGCCUGCCCGGUGCCGGAAGGUUAAUUGAUGGGGUUAUCCGUAAGGAGAAGCUCUUGAUCGAAGCCCCGGUAAACGGCGGCCGUAACUAUAACGGUCCUAAGGUAGCGAAAUUCCUUGUCGGGUAAGUUCCGACCUGCACGAAUGGCGUAAUGAUGGCCAGGCUGUCUCCACCCGAGACUCAGUGAAAUUGAACUCGCUGUGAAGAUGCAGUGUACCCGCGGCAAGACGGAAAGACCCCGUGAACCUUUACUAUAGCUUGACACUGAACAUUGAGCCUUGAUGUGUAGGAUAGGUGGGAGGCUUUGAAGCGUGGACGCCAGUCUGCGUGGAGCCAACCUUGAAAUACCACCCUUUAAUGUUUGAUGUUCUAACGUUGGCCCCUUACCGGGGUUGCGGACAGUGUCUGGUGGGUAGUUUGACUGGGGCGGUCUCCUCCCAAAGCGUAACGGAGGAGCACGAAGGUUAGCUAAUCCUGGUCGGACAUCAGGAGGUUAGUGCAAUGGCAUAAGCUAGCUUGACUGCGAGCGUGACGGCGCGAGCAGGUGCGAAAGCAGGUCAUAGUGAUCCGGUGGUUCUGAAUGGAAGGGCCAUCGCUCAACGGAUAAAAGGUACUCCGGGGAUAACAGGCUGAUACCGCCCAAGAGUUCAUAUCGACGGCGGUGUUUGGCACCUCGAUGUCGGCUCAUCACAUCCUGGGGCUGAAGUAGGUCCCAAGGGUAUGGCUGUUCGCCAUUUAAAGUGGUACGCGAGCUGGGUUUAGAACGUCGUGAGACAGUUCGGUCCCUAUCUGCCGUGGGCGCUGGAGAAUUGAGGGGGGCUGCUCCUAGUACGAGAGGACCGGAGUGGACGCAUCACUGGUGUUCGGGUUGUCAUGCCAAUGGCACUGCCCGGUAGCUAAAUGCGGAAGAGAUAAGUGCUGAAAGCAUCUAAGCACGAAACUUGCCCCGAGAUGAGUUCUCCCUGAGACUUUAAGUCUCCUGAAGGAACGUUGAAGACGACGACGUUGAUAGGCCGGGUGUGUAAGCGCAGCGAUGCGUUGAGCUAACCGGUACUAAUGAACCGUGAGGCUUAACCUU